UACGUAGGUGGCAAGCGUUGUCCGGAUUUACUGGGCGUAAAGAGCGCGCAGGCGGUCGAAUAAGUCGAAUGUGAAAGCCCCCCGGCUCAACUGGGGAGGGUCAUUCGAUACUGUUCGACUUGAAGGCAGGAGAGGGAAGCAGAAUUCCCGGUGUAGUGGUGAAAUGCGUAGAUAUCAGAAGGAACAUCAGUGGCGAAAGCGGCUUCCUGGACCAGAACUGACGAUCAGGCACGAAAGCGUGGGGAGCAAACAGG
rnacentral:rRNA from 1 species